rnacentral:lncRNA from 1 species
AACAAUUUCUCCCAAGAACUAAUCGUCCCUAGAGCAAGUGGCAAAGGGCUUGGUGAUUGAUACCCGAGACCCAAAUUCGAAUCCUAGCUAGUUGAUUCACAUUUCCAGCUAAGUUUAUUUUUAAAUGAAAUAAAACGAAGCGGAUAGCGUACUACCUAUCCCUCUCUCAAAAAAAAAAAAAAAAAAAACAAUUUCUCCCAAGAGGACGUAGAAAAAGGUUUUGGGAUUUAAUCCCUUUCAUGGUAAUAUACAAAGAACGUGGAAAUUAGCAUCGACUUUUCCCUUGUUUGAUCGGCCGUCUCUAGCGCAAGUGGUAAAGAGUUUGGUGGUUAGUACCCGAGGUUCUAAGUUCGAAUCCUAGUUGAUUCACAUUUCCAGCUAAGUUUAUUUCUAAAUGAAAUAAACGAAAUGGAUAGCGUGCUACCUAUCUCUCAAAAAAAAAUAUUUAAUUUAAGUUUUUUUAAUAAUCUGAAUAAAAAAAAAACGAUAUUAAUUCAUUCAAAUU